rnacentral:lncRNA from 1 species
AAAAUAUGGCUGUCUUCUUGUUUGCCAGGGCUACCCAAGGUCAAAGAAUAUCCUAUUACCCAUCCAUACAGCCCAUACACCUCCCCAAGUUCUGGCAAAUGGGAUCAUAUAGUACUACCCGGAGCCCUACAUUUAUUGCUGGUUUUGACAUUUCAUAUGGACGAGAAGAAGCUGUGCCUCAGGAACCCUAGACAUGGAUGGACUACUUAGUCUAUUGGCAUCCAUGUAAUGCAGUACCAGGCCUUAAUUGACCAUGAACUCUCCUAGAGCAUGCAAAAGCAACUGUAUCAUCGUGGGUCAUCUAAGAAGACACAGAGCUGGAAUCCUGUGACACACAGAUGUGAUGGAAUCCAGCACAUCAGAGGAAAGAGGAGAGGCACUACUCCCUGAGUGAAUGGUGAUUCCACAUCUUCAUCUGUCCUCUUGAUUUCCAAGACUCCCUCCAUCUCCAGGGAAACUUCAAGUGAUUUCUCAUUGAGGUGCAAUGUGGGCUUCUGAGCAGGAGGACUUUACUGUUGCCUUCAGGCCUUAUAUGAUUUUUUUUGAAGGAACUCCAUUGCCAACAUCCUGUAUGCUUAACUUUAGAGUCAAUUUUCUUUUGUGAACAUGCAUGUAAGUGUUUCCUAUGCUCAGAGGCCAGGGGUCUUGGGUGUCUGUCUCUAUUACUGUCUGCCUUGUUUCUUUUAUACAAAACUUGUCCCUGCA